rnacentral:rRNA from 1 species
GAUGAACGCUGGCGGCGUGCCUAAUACAUGCAAGUCGAGCGAACAGACGAGGAGCUUGCUCCUCUGACGUUAGCGGCGGACGGGUGAGUAACACGUGGAUAACCUACCUAUAAGACUGGGAUAACUUCGGGAAACCGGAGCUCAUACCGGAUAAUAUAUUGAACCGCAUGGUUCAAUAGUGAAAGACGGUUUUGCUGUCACUUAUAGAUGGAUCCGCGCCGCAUUAGCUAGUUGGUAAGGUAACGGCUUACCAAGGCAACGAUGCGUAGCCGACCUGAGAGGGUGAUCGGCCACACUGGAACUGAGACACGGUCCAGACUCCUACGGGAGGCAGCAGUAGGGAAUCUUCCGCAAUGGGCGAAAGCUUGACGGAGCAACGCCGCGUGAGUGAUGAAGGUCUUCGGAUCGUAAAACUCUGUUAUUAGGGAAGAACAAAUGUGUAAGUAACUAUGCACGUCUUGACGGUACCGAAUCAGAAAGCCACGGCUAACUACGUG